rnacentral:rRNA from 1 species
AGAGCGAACGCUGGCGGCAGGCUUAACACAUGCAAGUCGAGCGGGCGUAGCAAUACGUCAGCGGCAGACGGGUGAGUAACGCGUGGGAACAUACCUUUUGGUUCGGAACAACACAGGGAAACUUGUGCUAAUACCGGAUAAGCCCUUACGGGGAAAGAUUUAUCGCCGAAAGAUUGGCCCGCGUCUGAUUAGCUUGUUGGUGAGGUAACGGCUCACCAAGGCGACGAUCAGUAGCUGGUCUGAGAGGAUGAUCAGCCACAUUGGGACUGAGACACGGCCCAAACUCCUACGGGAGGCAGCAGUGGGGAAUAUUGGACAAUGGGCGCAAGCCUGAUCCAGCCAUGCCGCGUGAGUGAUGAAGGCCCUAGGGUUGUAAAGCUCUUUUGUGCGGGAAGAUAAUGACGGUACCGCAAGAAUAAGCCCCGGCUAACUUCGUGCCAGCAGCCGC